ensembl:lncRNA RPL23AP7 ribosomal protein L23a pseudogene 7
GCCUAGAGGGAGUGGAGCGGUGAGCACGUCAGGGGUGGGGGGCGCAGGUCAAGCUUUCACCAGUUUUUAAUUCUUUGAUGGGGUAAAUUUGAGCAAUUUUCUCGACUUGUCGACAUUCGUUAUUAACUGAGCAGGAAUCAGGAGAGGAACCCGGUCCUCUCCACACAGCCCAGCAGGUACGCCGCCCAUGUGCCUGUGGAGAAGAGAGGUUCCUGUGGGGCAGACAGGUGUGGACCAAGUAGCUGCGAAAUUUCUUCUGAAGAAAACACACAAGGGGGAAGCGAGUGAGCUCAGUGGAGGAGGGGCGCUACCCCAGGGGACGUCCCCAUGCAUGGGCUUGUGAACCUCGAAUAUGUGAGACGGUCUCAGUCAAUUUAGAAAGUUUAUUUUGCCAAGGUUGAGGACGCACGCCCGUGACACAGCCUCAGGAGGUCUUGACAUGUGCCAAAGGUGGCCGGGACACAGCUUGCUUUUAUACAUGUUAGGGAGACAGGAGACAUCAAUAUAUGUAAGAUGAACGUUGGUUCCCUCGGGAAAGGCGGGACAACUCGAAGCAGGGAGGGGGCUUCCAGGUCACAGAGAGCCUACGACUAGAUUUGCAUCUUUACGUCCUGCGCGGAGGCUGCUACACACAUGCAGAAGUCAUGCUGGUGGCCUGGACAGUGAAGGGAGAGAAGUGGAUUUGGGAGACAUUUAGGAGAAGAAUCCCAGACUUCUUAGAGAACCCAGUGACUUUUUGCACCUUAAAUCUGUGAAAUCCUCAUGUUUUCUUCUGCCGUAUCCAUAGUUCAAACAAAGAUGAGGCAAAGCUAGAUGCAUUCCUGAAGGAACCCAAGAAAUUCCUCUCUUUAUUUCUCUGGAAUGAAAUGAAUUCUCUAGACCACCAGUUCUAACCUUCAAAAACCAAACCUGUUUGUGAGAUCUCCUUCAAAUACUACUGUAGACCCCAGUGUUUAUUCAUUAAAUUUUUAAAAUAUU